GCUUCAAUAGUUUAAAUAAAAUAAUGGUCUUGUAAGCCGUAGCUGUACUCUUGUUCUUGAAGCU
rnacentral:tRNA from 1 species